rnacentral:sRNA from 3 species
UAUUCUGCCCUACGGGGAAGGAUGAGAAGCUUCGACCAAGGUUCGACUCGAGCGCCAGCGAGAGAACGUUGCCGCAGGCAACGGCCCGAAGGGCGAGGAGCGAUAGCGACGAGUUAUCCUUCCCCCUCUAUUC